AUUGAACGCUGGCGGCAUGCUUUACACAUGCAAGUCGAACGGUAACAGGGAGCUUGCUCCGCUGACGAGUGGCGAACGGGUGAGUAAUGCGUCGGAACGUGCCGAGUAGUGGGGGAUAACGCAGCGAAAGUUGUGCUAAUACCGCAUACGUACUGAGGUAGAAAGUGGGGGACCUUCGGGCCUCACGCUAUUCGAGCGGCCGACGUCUGAUUAGCUAGUAGGUGAGGUAAAGGCUCACCUAGGCGACGAUCAGUAACGGGUCUGAGAGGAUGGUCCGCCACACUGGGACUGAGACACGGCCCAGACUCCUACGGGAGGCAGCAGUGGGGAAUUUUGGACAAUGGGCGAAAGCCUGAUCCAGCCAUGCCGCGUGUCUGAAGAAGGCCUUCGGGUUGUAAAGGACUUUUGUCGGGGAGGAAAUCCCCAGCGCUAAUACCGCUGGGGGAUGACAGUACCUGAAGAAUAAGCACCGGCUAACUACGUGCCAGCCGCCGCAGUAAGAC
rnacentral:rRNA from 1 species